rnacentral:misc_RNA from 1 species
GCCAUCCCUUGGGCUCAUCAC